rnacentral:misc_RNA from 1 species
AUUUUUUUUUUUUAAUUUUCAAUUGGGAUUUAUUUAUUUUUGAAGAAAUUGAUAUUCUUAGUAUCAUAGUAAUGGAAAGAUUUUAAAUUCUUUUUCUCUUACGUGAAUUUAUGUUUACAUUUGUAUAAUGUAAUUUUCAUUGAACAAGAACUGAUUUGAUUUUUCAACCUUUCUUUGUACUAUAUUUUCAUUUUUCAUGCUAUUAAAUUAUUCUAUAAAGGUGUCUCACAGUGAUUAGUAAAAAGUUCAAUUUAUUGGUUGCUUCAGGUUUUUUGUGAAUUCUUGUUUCAUUCAAUACAAACACCAUGAGAUUCAGGAAAAGAAGUAACGUAGAGGUAUUCUGCAAAAAGGGUGGGCCUUCAGGGGCGUGGAGAUGCGGUGAGAUUGUUUUUUCAGGCAAUGGACACGAUUACAGUGUAACGUAUGAUUCUCCUUCAAGCAAGAAUAAUGAGGAUCUUGUAGAGAAGGUCUCAAGAAAAGCAAUUAGGCCUUGCCCUCCUCCUCUGGACGAUGCUUCCAAUAGUUGGACUGCUGGUGAUGUUGUGGAGGUGUUGGAUGAUCUUUAUUGGAAGGCAGCUGCAAUUUUGAAGGUUUUCAGUCAAAAUUACUAUUUUGUUAGAUUAAUUGGGUCUUCAAGGGAACUCCGAAUCCACAAAAGUAACAUUAGGAUGCGUCAAUUAUGGGAAGAUGGCAAAUGGGUUGUCAUUGGAAAGGGUUCUGGCUUCAGGGAAGAUGUGAAGUCCAAUAAACUUUCGACCUUCAGUUGUUACCAGUAUAUAAGCCCUCGGAUGCCGCAGGCCAAAGCAAAGACAAAAGUUCAUGCAGGGAACAAUUGUUUCACUGUUGAGAACGAUGCUGGUUUUCAGGAUUCUUGUAUUGCGACUGCUAGAACACUGAAGAGAGCAUCUGAUGUCAAAGAGUGUAAUGGAAAGGUCCUCAAAAUGAGAGCAACACAGAAAAAGGGUGAGCACCAACUAGCGAUGCCAGGGUGCUCAUCCUCAUUUAUGCAAAAGGGCCGCAGUUGGAGGCAUGCGUGCAUUGCUUCCAAAGGUCUAAUGGAGAUGGUGGGGAUCACCACCAUUCUUGUGGCACAAUAAAUGGGGCCACUACCAAUUCAAUGCUUUACCAUUGUGCCAAUCGAUGUCCAGUUUCUGAUAUCAUUGUCACUAUAAUCCCUGGAACCAUGCACAAAAUAUAUGGGGGAAGUGAAUGCAAAACUUUGAGAAGGCAGGCAUGAAAUUCUGACAUGGAAGCUCAUUUUCAUUUCAAGCUUUAAUAUGAGUUAUGUGAUGACACCCAUUCAGAAGGCUUGCUGCUGGCAGUUGUGUGUGAAACGCAUGGCAAUGGAAGUUAUUCAGCCAUCUGGUAUGUAUACAUGCAAGGCGCAAGAAUUGGAAGGGAAGAUUUGAUGAAUGUAUUCAUCUCCUGGAAUAAUUUUCAUCGUUGGGUUCCAGAAUUUGAAUAUUAAGUUUCGUAUGCAUUUCCACGUGGUUAUUAGUGUUAAGACGGAGUGAAAAUAAUUCCAUACCUUUUAACAAGCUCUAACUGGCAAAAGCAGCAUUUCUUUAGCCAGUUGCUAUUUUUGGAUAUUGUAACCUUGCUUGAGCAAGUAAGUUGUGUUCUCUCAUUAUAUUUCACCACACCCAUAUAAUAGGGUACUAGACUACUAAUGUGAGACACGUUUGCUUUAUUAGAGCACCUACUAUCUAUACUCUGCCAAUGAAGGGGUAGUGGGGUUUAGCUUCAAAGCUCAUUUAGUUAUGGGCAUAGCCUAGUGAACUCAUGAAAAAACACCAAUUCUUAUAGUGCUAUAUUGCUGAUGAUCUUGACUGAUACGUAUCGUGGUUUUGUUCUGCUUAGAUCACCUUAUUUUCUGCUUACCGUCGUGCUCACUUUCUACAUUUUAGUCACUCUCUUCAGUGUUGCUUGACCUUUGCUGCUUUUCAAUUUAUUCUGUGUUUGUAGAACAGUGAAUGAUCUGAAGAUAUUUUGUGGAGAUCAACUUGUCUUCUGCUUGGUUACAAUGGGCUUUGUGACAUAUCAUUGUUGUAUCCAUUUAUCUUAAAAUGUUACUCAUCAUCCAGAAAACUUGCUAACAUGGUUCUUUUUGGAAACUGGGAAAUAAAAGCCAAUGUUGCUUCUAUUUUAAAAAUCCCUGUAGUUUAUCUUUUUAUGUUUACUUUAGAAGCAAUAACUGCUUUCUUUCUUCCUGGCAGUUUGAACUGAGCCAUUCUGCAAUGGAUUAUCACCCUGAUAAAUAUCAAUAACACUACUUUUAACAGUUCUAUAACUCUGAUAAAUUUCAA